rnacentral:rRNA from 1 species
GACGAACGCUGGCGGCGCGCUUAACACAUGCAAGUCGAGCGAAGCGGCGGACGGGUGAGUAACACGUGAGCAACCUGCCUUAGACAUUGGGAUAGCCUCGGGAAACCGGGAUUAAUACCAAAUGGUCUAAGAUGGACUCGCGUCCCAUUAUCUAGUUGGUGAGGUAACGGCCCACCAAGGAGACGAUGGGUAGCCGGCCUGAGAGGGUGGGCGGCGACAUUGGAACUAGGAAACGGUCCAAACUCUACGGGAGGCAGCAGUGGGGAAUAUUGCACCAUGGAGGGAACGCUGAUGCAGCGACGCCGCGUGAACGAUGAAGGCUUCCGAGUCGUAAAGUUCUUUUAUAUGGGAAGCGGUACCAUAAUAAAAAGCCCCGGCUAACUACGUGCCAGCCGCCGCGGUAAUUC